AGAGAAGGAAAUUCUCCUAUAUUCUGUGUACGCGUAUAUUUGGGAUCUAUACUGAAAUCCCACCACAGCACUGCAUUGCAAACAUUGAUUUUAACAAUCUCUUGUGACUUCCAUAGAACAAGCAAUUUUGAUGGGAAAUGAGACGUGUAAUGGAAUGGCUCAGAUAAACCAUGUGCUUUCCUGCAGCAAGUCCGGCAUCUCGCUAUUUUUGCCACCUUGCCUCCAAAAAAUUUAUGUGGCUUGUCUAUAAUUGGUUGGAGGAGUCGUACACAUACACAACAGCAACUCAACCAUGACAAUAAAGAAUGGAGUGGGAUAAUGGGAGACAUUCUGUUGCAAAUUUCAUAUGCACUUGCAGCUUGUUUAAUAAUCUUACUAGAAAAAAGAGGUUCUUUUUUUCUUACGACUUUUACAUGUUUUAUUAAUUGCUUAAGUAAGUUUUAAAGUGUGGUUA